rnacentral:lncRNA from 1 species
CCGUGGAAGUUCGGAUGGAGACCACUUAUUGUAGAAGCUCGGAUGAAAUUCGGAAGGCGGUCGACCACUGUAGAAACAUGGAUGGAGUCUGGUUACUGUAGAAGUCCUGCUACUGGAGAAGCCCGGACAUUGACGAAGUUCGGAAGAAGCUCGUAAUAAAGUCGAUCGUGACAGGAGAAAGUCUGGAAGAGAUUCAAAGAGUAGUCGAUCACUAUAGAAAAUCGG